rnacentral:rRNA from 1 species
UACGGAGGGUGCGAGCGUUGUCCGGAAUCAUUGGGCGUAAAGGGUGCGUAGGCGGCGUGGUAAGUCGGGUGUGAAAUCUCGGAGCUUAACUCCGAAACUGCAUUCGAUACUGCGGUGCUUGAGGACUGGAGAGGAGACUGGAAUUCAUGGUGUAGCGGUGAAAUGCGUAGAUAUCGUAAGGAAGACCAGUGGCGAAGGCGGGUCUCUGGACAGU